CGGAAGCUCAAACCCACACACGUGUCGACACGAUGGCCUGGGUGCUCCGAGUCCGAUGGGCUCGUGGGUUGGUCAUUGGGAUACGUGGAGGCCCAACC
rnacentral:sRNA from 1 species